ACCUGGAUGGCUCAGUCGGUUAAGCAUCUGACUUUGGCUCAGGUCAUGAUCUGAUGGUCCGUGGGUUCGAGCGCCGCUUUAGGCU
rnacentral:tRNA from 1 species